UACGGAGGGUGCAAGCGUUGCUCGGAAUUAUUGGGCGUAAAGAGCGUGUAGGCGGCCCGACCAGUCCGCUGUGAAAGUCCAGGGCUCAACCCUGGAAUGCCGGUGGAUACUGUCGGGCUAGAGUCCGGAAUGGGCGAGUGGAAUUCCUGGUGUAGCGGUGAAAUGCGCAGAUAUCAGGAGGAACACCAAUGGCGAAGGCAGCUCGCUGGGACGUGACUGACGCUGAGACGCGAAAGCGUGGGGAGCAAACAGG
rnacentral:rRNA from 1 species